rnacentral:rRNA from 1 species
AACGAACGCUGGCGGCAUGCCUAACACAUGCAAGUCGAACGAGACCUUCGGGUCUAGUGGCGCACGGGUGCGUAACGCGUGGGAACCUGCCCUUAGGUUCGGAAUAACUCCCCGAAAGGGGUGCUAAUACCGGAUAAUGUCUUCGGACCAAAGAUUUAUCGCCUUUGGAUGGGCCCGCGUUGGAUUAGCUAGUUGGUAGGGUAAAAGCCUACCAAGGCGACGAUCCAUAGCUGGUCUGAGGGGAUGAUCAGCCACACUGGGACUGAGACACGGCCCAGACUCCUACGGGAGGCAGCAGUGGGGAAUAUUGGACAAUGGGCGAAAGCCUGAUCCAGCAAUGCCGCGUGAGUGAUGAAGGCCUUAGGGUUGUAAGCUCUUUUACCCGGGAUGAUAAUGACAGUACCGGGAGAAUAAGCUCCGGCUAACUCCGUG